rnacentral:rRNA from 1 species
UACAGAGGGUGCGAGCGUUAAUCGGAAUUACUGGGCGUAAAGCGCGCGUAGGCGGCUUUUCAAGUCGAUUGUGAAAUCCCCGGGCUUAACCUGGGGACUGCAGUCGAGACUGUCUAGCUAGAGUAUGGGAGAGGGAAGUGGAAUUUCAGGUGUAGCGGUGAAAUGCGUAGAUAUCUGAAGGAACAUCAGUGGCGAAAGCGACUUCCUGGACCAAUACUGACGCUCAUGUGCGAAAGCGUGGGGAGCAAACAGG